rnacentral:lncRNA from 1 species
GGUGUCAUGGUGAGUCAAGAAACAUUUUGGCUCAUGGUUACAAAUUAUGCGUUUACUGUAUUCAUCUUCGUGCAUGCACACAUGCAAUGUUUUACAAAGCAUCUGUUGAGUGUCUACGGCACAACACACACGUUCUGGUGCUGGAGAUCCUGCCCUGGCUGAGCUUCUGGACCUGGUGGGGAGAAAUCCACAAUGAGUACUGAGACGACCGGCAAAAGCCCGGUGAAGGCACCUAGGAGUAGGGCCUGCUUACCCUGGAGGAGUCGGGAGCAGCUUCCACAGCAAGGAGGCUUCUAAGGUACCCAAAAGCACAAGAGACAGUGAACGGAAAGUGCUUGGAAGCCCCGUGCCCAGGUGGUGCUGGCCCCAGCUGAACUGCGGGGAUAGAUGUUGAGUGUCCAGGUUCUAGCAUCAUAGAACAGAAUCCGGCCUGUUGGGAAAUCCUGCCUACAAGUAUACCUCCAUUAAUUAGUGUCUUCUGUGAACAUUUUUAUUAAAAAAAGAAGAAAAGCUUCUC